rnacentral:rRNA from 1 species
CCUACGUGAGGCUGCAGUGGGGAAUAUUUCGCAAUGGGCGCAAGCCUGACGCAGCGACGCCGCGUGAGGGAUGAAGGUCUUCGGAUCGUAAACCUCUGUCAGCAGGGAAGAACGGUCACUGUGCUAAUCAGCAGUGAAUUGCCGGUACCUGCAAAGGAAGCACCGGCUAACUCCGUGCCAGCAGCCGCGGUAAUACGGAGGGUGCGAGCGUUAAUCGGAAUUACUGGGCGUAAAGCGCUCGUAGGCGGUAUGUCAAGUCAAGGGUGAAAUCCCCGCGCUCAACGUGGGAACUGCCUUGGAAACUGGCAAACUGGAGUGUGUGAGAGGAUAGUGGAAUUCCAGGUGUAGGAGUGAAAUCCGUAGAUAUCUGGAGGAACAUCAGUGGCGAAGGCGACUAUCUGGCACAUAACUGACGCGGAGGAGCGAAAGCGUGGGUAGCAAACAGGAUUAGAUACCCCAGUAGUC